rnacentral:rRNA from 2 species
UGAGUAAUGCCUAGGAAAUUGCCCUGAUGUGGGGGAUAACCAUUGGAAACGAUGGCUAAUACCGCAUGAUGCCUACGGGCCAAAGAGGGGGACCUUCGGGCCUCUCGCGUCAGGAUAUGCCUAGGUGGGAUUAGCUAGUUGGUGAGGUAAUGGCUCACCAAGGCGACGAUCCCUAGCUGGUCUGAGAGGAUGAUCAGCCACACUGGAACUGAGACACGGUCCAGACUCCUACGGGAGGCAGNAGNGGGGAAUAUUGCACAAUGGGCGCAAGCCUGAUGCAGCCAUGCCGCGUGUAUGAAGAAGGCCUUCGGGUUGUAAAGNACUUUCAGUCGUGAGGAAGGUGGUGUUGNUAAUANCAGCAUCAUUUGACGUUAGCGACAGAAGAAGCACCGGCUAACUCCGUGCCAGCAGCCGCGGUAAUACGGAGGGUGCGAGCGUUAAUCGGAAUUACUGGGCGUAAAGCGCAUGCAGGUGGUGGAUUAAGUCAGAUGNGNAAAGCCCGGGGCUUCAACCUCGGAACCGCAUUUGAAACUGGUUC